rnacentral:lncRNA from 1 species
CGAACUGCCAGCCUGCGCCUUUGCAGCCGGCCCUCGCUUUGCUGAAGACGAGCAGCUCCCACCAAAGUCUUGCCUCCCCUUACCCCGAAAGCCCCGCUCAGGUCAAAGAGCCUAAAAGAAAAGCCCGGGCCGGGCGCGGUGGCUCACGCCUGUAAUCCCAGCACUUUGGGAGGCCGAGGCGGGCGGAUCACGAGGUCAGGAGAUCGAGACCAUCCCGGCUAAAACGGUGAAACCCCGUCUCUACUAAAAAUACAAAAAAUUAGCCGGGCGUAGUGGCGGGCGCCUGUAGUCCCAGCUCCUUGGGAGGCUGAGGCAGGAGAAUGGCGUGAACCCGGGAGGCGGAGCUUGCAGUGAGCCGAGAUCCCGCCACUGCACUCCAGCCUGGGCGACAGAGCGAGACUCCGUCUCAAAAAAAAAAAAAAAAAAAGAAAAGAAAAGCCCGGAGCCAUACACUCACCUGGUUGAAGCCAUAAAGAGUUCAAUAUUUCAAGUGAAAAUCUGCCUGUUCGAAAAGAAAAUAUUCACAAAUGAGCAGUGUAUUAGAAGACAACUGAAUUGCUUCUAAGAAUGGGUCUCACUCUGCCAUCACCCAGGCUGGAGUGUGGUGGCACCAUCAUGGCUCACUGCAGCCUUGAACUCCUGAGCUCAAGUCAUCCUCCCACCUCAGCCUUCCGAGUAGCUGGAACUGCAGGUGUGAGCCACCAUGCCUGGCUGAUUUGUCUUUUUAAAUUUUUUAUAGAGACCGAGUCUCAACUAUAUUGUCCAGGCUGGAAAAGAACUUCUUUCCCUCCAAGUGAUAACCUUUUCCAGACAAGUCAGCUUAAAAACUGACCCAAAG